AGUACAUACGGGAAUCCCUAAGAAAAGGUUUUAUUAGAAGGUCCUCCUCUCCUGCUGGUGCUGGUUUCUUUUUUGUGGCUAAGAAGGAGGGCGAUUUGAGGCCAUGUAUAGACUACAGGGGUCUGAACAAUAUAACAGUUAAAAACGCCUACCCUAUCCCCCUCAUCACUGAGUUGUUUGAUCGUGUUAAAGGUUCUAAAUUAUUCA